rnacentral:rRNA from 1 species
UACGUAGGGACCAAGCGUUGUUCGGAUUUACUGGGCGUAAAGGGCGCGUAGGCGGCUUAACAAGUCACUUGUGAAAUCUCCGGGCUUAACUCGGAACGGCCAAGUGAAACUGUCAAGCUAGAGUGCAGAAGGGGCAAUCGGAAUUCUUGGUGUAGCGGUGAAAUGCGUAGAUAUCAAGAGGAACACCUGAGGUGAAGACGGGUUUGCUGGGCUGACACUGACGCUGAGGCGCGAAAGCCAGGGAGCAAAACGGGGAU